GCCCGGGUGGUGUAGCGGUAACAUAGGGGACUGUGGAUCCCCUGUCUCGGGUUCGAAUCCCGACCCGGGCC
rnacentral:tRNA from 2 species